GUCGUCAGCGGCCUGCACGUAGUAGUAGGCACCUCCAGUGUAGUAGGAGUCAUCGUCGACGGUGGCGUCUGGCUCCUGGGCUCCAACGUCUGGUUGCGGCAUCCGGGAAGAAGAGGGAAAGGGGGGAAAAGAGGGAGCAAAGCAACCGUGAGUACUCAUCCAAAGUACUCGCAAGCAAGGAUCUACACUACAUAUGCAUGGGUAUAUGUGUAAAGAGGCAAUAUCGGUGGACUGAACUGCAGAACGCCAGAAUAAGAGGGGGAUAGCUAGUCCGAUUGAAGACUACGCUUCUGGCAGCCUCCGUCUUGCAGCAUGUACAAGAGAGUAGAUUGAAGUCCUCCAAGUAGCAUCGCAUAGCAUAAUCCUACCCGGCGAUCCUCCCCUCGUCGCCCUGUGAGAAAGCGAUCACCGGGUUGUCUCUGGAAUUUGUCUGGGUGUGUUUUAUUAAGUAUCUGGUUCUAGUUGUCAUAAGGUCAAGGUACAACUCUGGGUCGUCCUUUUACCGAGGGACACGACUAUUCGAAUAGAUAAACUUCCCUGCAGAGGUGCACCACAUAACCCAACAUGCUCGACCCCCUUUGGCCGGACACACUUUCCUGGGUCAUGCCCGGCCUUGGAAGAUCAACACGUCGCAGCCCCACCUAGGCACAACAGAGAGGUCAGCACGCCGGUCUAAAUCCUAUGCGCGCAGGGGUCUGGGCCCAUCGCCCAUUGCACACCUGCACGUUGCAUACGCGGCCGGUGAGCAGACCUAGCAACCUCCAUUACAAAGGAAGUUGCGUUACGCGGUCCAACCCGGCGCGCGCCGCUCAGUCGCUGACGUCAAGAAGGCUUCGGCUGAUACCACGACGUCGAGUGCCCAUAACUGUCCCCGCGUAGUUGGUUAGUGCGAAUAGGCCAUUGGCCAGACUCAGAUCAAAUACCAAGAUCUCGUUAAGCGUGUUAUUAUGAAGUAAUCGUGAACGCCGACUAGGGCCAGGCCCACCCCUUGCCUAGGUGGUCUCAGCCUGCCCUGUCGCUCCGCCACAAAGUAACAGUCGGGGGUCGUCGGGAACCCAGGCCCACCUCUACCGGGAUGGAGCCACCUGCCCCUUCAGCCCCCAUCUCCGAACAAUAUCAUAAGUAAUGUAACAGUAUAAAGUGCCCGUGCUCACCUCCCGAAGUGAUCACGGCCCAGUAGUAUAGCAUGGCAGACGGACAAGAGUGUAGGGCCACUAAUGGAAUACUAGCAUCCUAUACUAAGCAUUUAGGAUUGCAGGUAAGGGUAACAACUGUAGCAACAAUGACAGGCUAUGCAGCAGAAUAGGAUUAACCAAAAGCAGUAACAUGCUACGCUAUUCUAAUGCAAGCAGUAUAGAGAAGGAAUAGGCGAUAUCUGGUGAUCAAGGGGGGCUUGCCUGGUUGCUCUAGCAAGAAGGAGGGGUCGUCAAUAUCGUAGUCGAUCGGGGCAGCAGCAGUGGCAGUCUCGUUGUCUACCGGAGAGAAGAGGGGGAAGAAAAAAUGAAUAUAAGGCAAACUGAUGCAUAACGAUGCAUGACAUGACAAGCGGUGCUAGGUGUGCCCUAACGCGAUGGUAGGUGAUAUCGGUGAAGGGGGGAAACAUCCGGGAAAGUAUUCCCGGUGUUUGACGUUUUCAGACAGAUGAACUGGAGGGGGAAAGUUGCGUAUUUGCUAUGCUAGGGAUGUGUGGCGGACGAACGGGCUGCGCAUCUAGAUUCGUCUCGUCGUUCUGAGCAACUUUCAUGUACAAAGUUUUUCCAUCCGAGCUACGGUUUAUUUUAUAUGAUUCUUUUAAAGAUUUAAUGAUUUUCUAGACUUACUUUAAUUCAAAAAUAAACUGAAAAUACUAUUUAUACAUAGCAAUAGCCAGCCCUUGUGUAUGACAGGUGGGGUCAGGGUCAAGGUCAACAGUCAAGUCAGCAGUUGACUGGGUCAACGUUGACUGGUCAAACUGGCUGGUGGGACCCAGCUAUCAUAGAGACACUGUAAAUUAAUAGUUUAAUUAAUUUUAACAGAUUAGGUGGGGGCCACAUGUCACUGACUUAUGUAUUUUUAAACAGGCUUUUAAAUGAAAUGGGUCCACAUGUCAUUGCCUUAGACUAACUUAACAGGUUUAAUUAGUUUAGUUAAUUGAUUAGGUUAACUAAACACAAUUAUUUAAGUUAUUUAAUUAUUUAAUUAAUUAUUAAUAUUUUUAUAUAUAUAUAUUUUAAAUUCUUUUUUUUUGUUCUAAGAGGCGUGGGCCCCGUUGUCCAGUGGCACAAAGGCCAUAGCGGGGCGGUGCGUUAGCGGGUGAAGCCCAAACGGGCACUGGCCAUGGGGGCGCACCCGGUUGGGCGCUCUGAGCGCCGGUGGCCACGGCGGGGCGGUAGGCUGGAGCGAGCUGGGACGGCGACUGCGGGGCCGGCGGUGAGCGGGCGCGGCAGAAGGAGAAGGAGGGCGGGGGUGCGCGGUCUCGGACGGGGUCGGCGCGGUCCGACGCGUGGACGCGGUCCUGGGCGUCGCGGCGGAGCGCGAGCGGGCGCGACCAGUAGGGGCGCGUCACAAGCAUGGGUGAGACCGGAGCGCAGAGAGGGGGAGAUCAGGUCAGGCAUCGUGGCCGCGGCUAACGGCGCGCGAGGGCGCGGUGUGCACAUGGGGACAGGGGAAAGAGGAGAGGCCGGGGUUUGGCCUCACCAUAUGGUGUAGGGGAUUGGCAGCGGCUCGAGGAGGUUGACGGGGACGACGUCCACGACAAAGAGGACGGUGGGGCGACGGGGUCGAGAGUGCGGCGCAGGAACGGCGGCCUUGGCACGGGGCGAGGAGGACGCCGAGGCACACGAGGCGAUGGCGACGUCGGCGGAGACCUCAGGCUGCGGCGAUUGGCGACGGGGACUUCGGGCGGCGGCGGGAUCGGGCGGUGAGCGCUGGGGUGCUCCCGGCGGCGGCGACGAGUCCAUUCCCCCCGAUCCAAUCGGGGGGCAGAGGAGGGGAGAGGUGGAUCGAGGGAGUGGGGGGAAGUGGGGCGACCGGUUAGGUUUUCGGGGGCAGUGGGGGAUAUGGGCGCGACUGGUGGGCCGGCCUGGUGGCCUGCUGGGCCGGUUGGCCCAGUGGGGGGGGCUUCUCUUCUUUUUUUUUAGCUUUGUUUUUUUGUUUUUGUUUUUCUUUUUAAUUUUAUUUCCUUUCCUGUUUUCAUUCAUUUUAAAUAUAUAGGCCUUUUUAUAAAAGCACGAUUCCUUCACCAUAAUUACCCAGGCAUUUACUGGCACACUCCGAACAUUUUAGUUUACCAUUUUGAAAACUUUUAUUGUUUGUCAAUAUUUUAAAUUUGAAUUUUAAUCGUUUUGUACUAACGCGAGUUUAUCAACCGUAACCGAGGUGAUGUGGCAUUAUUAGCAGAGGUUCACUGUAGCUUAAGUAUCCGGGUGUCACAAUUCUCCUCCACUACAAGAAAUCUCGUCCCGAGAUUUAAGCGGUGGAGUAGGGGGGAAGGUGCUGGUAGCGAAAAACCUAACGAGUCUUCUCGGUCUUGGAUGCCCUUUCGAAGAGGUUGAUCCCUUCCGUUCAUGUCUUCAUUUAUCUGCUUCAAGUCACCAUGAUCAAGUCGUCAUCCUUUCUUCGGGAUCUCCAUCGUCCUACGAAUGCGACCAAGGGGAAAAAUUCCGGAAGAACGCAUCUCCACAAAGCUGGGCAUCUGACGGUGAACUCAAUGGGAAAUACACAAGGUACCCCACGAGUUGUAUUUCAGUGAAUUCGUUGAGUGCAAUAUACGAUGGUACCAAAGUUUCAAACGGGUAGGCAAUCAUUUGAUGACUAGACAGAAGCUGGAAUGGGGGUUUGAACAACGAUACUAACAUGGUGUUUGAUUCUAGGAUGAAUAAUGGUAUAGCAUUUAGAUCGUGAAUCACUUACGAAGCCAGGUGCAAAGGAUACAUUAGAAUCGGGGUUGUAAAGAAGAGUCAGGUUUCGAUCUAGUGGACAUGUGGGUUGUAGGCCCACCAUGUGGGUUGAAAGUAGGAAGGGUUGUGAUAUCUUGCACAGCUGCGACAGGGAGGCAUGCCAGAGGAUAGCAUGUUAGUUAUGUCGGCAACAACAUCGGUACCAAGGGCGAGGGACGAAGAGAACCAUUCUCCUGCUCGUUCAAUGAGGCGGACCAAUAGGCAAAGUUCUCGUCCAUCGGUGGUUAGCGAAAUGUCAUCAACAAUAGUAACAGGGUCUUACCGACACGAUUGUACACCUAGGUGUUUAUAUAAGCAGAAGAAUAUUACUGCUUAGAUCAUAUAGAUCACCAGAAAGGUUAAACAAAACAAUGUAAAGGAAAAGGUGAUCAUCAGAUUGAAUAGAACAAUGGAAAGGAAAAUGUGUUUAAACACAUUAUUCAGGGGUAUAUCCUUCCCAAGGACAAACAGAGCAUGAUAUCCACAAUAGGAUAUAAUGUAGAAAACCCUUUAGGAAAGGGGGGAGAAAUUACCUGACAUUACCCAAACAACAGUGUUUGAAUAAUUGAUAAGGAAAUUAGCAUUGUGCUUCAAAUGUUCUUAUUGAUGACAGGAGUACCACAUACAUGCUUCAAGAUAGCAUUGACAUGGUCUUCAAGCAAGGAUUGGACUUUGGAUACACAAAGGAUCCACCAGGAACAACUUAUAAAAUAAGUCUUAUGAUUUCCUCAUGGAAGAAUCAGUAAACUAGUUUUAAAAAGGAAACUACAACAAUAGGUCCUCCGGCCAGGUGUGCUAGGCAUGAUAUCACCUUACCGAUAUAUAAGGACCAAUGUUAUAACUCUUGGAAAUAUGUCCCAACCAUCAUAUCUGACCGAGAUUCAGAUCUGAUUGGUGUCAGGAUACCUCCGACUCAGGAUGCCUGAGAAGGAAAGGUGCAACACAAAUUGUCGAGAUGACAUUGUAAGAUUCAAGGGGCAAUGAACUAUAGAAGCUUGUUCCGAAACAAGAGUUCAUCAUUAAACCAAGGAGAGGAAGAGGAGGUAGCUGAUGGACUCAGCGAUAAUUCAUCCAGAUUUCCAAACAGACGGAUUUCCACAAUUAUGUGAACAUGGAGAUAACAUUUGUUGGAUCAAAUGGUAUAAUGUUGCAUGCUCGAGCAAAACAUACACAAUUUAAACAUUGGUUGAAAGGUGUGCCCGAAAUAUGACCUUAGGCAGCAAGAUCAAUGUUAGAGUGACGAUUCAAUAACCAACAGUCUAAGAACGAACUGUCGAUCGUUAACUUCAAAGCAAUAGGGUUGCUAGAAGUACAGAACUCAAACAACAUCGUUAGCAUAUUGGUAUCCUGGUUAAAAAAACACGGGGACCAAGGAAGAAUGGUGAUGGUGAGAAGUAUCAUCAUACCGAGAAUUUCUAAGAGGUGGAGCAAUCCCCACAACAUUCUCGACACAAAAGACAGUAAUACUUCAAGGCAGAACACAACACUAGCUGGAGAGCAAGUUGUAUUCAUAAUGUGGACAAGUUCGUGAUGAAAGGAAGUCAAGGUUGUUGUCGAUGAUAAUAAAAAUCAUCGAGGGCAAGGAGGUUAUUUCUCAUCAUGAACACAGUUGACAUCUCAGAAGAAGUCAAAGUGUUGAAGGUGACCCGACACAUUUUCUGGGAGGUUUCGAGAGGAUGCAAUCAAACAACAACGGCAACAAGCAAGGGAAUGACAAAGUGGCAAGUUAUAGCAUCAAUAUAUAAGAUGCAAGGUCGGAACCAAAGUUGCCUUUCAAGACAAGCAACAUGAUGUUGAAAGAUCGACGUAAGUCGUGCUCACACACUGAAGAAUUCAUGCACCAGAGAAGGAUGAGGUAGCAUAGUCAAAGAUAGCAAGACCAGGAUGCAGCCGAUAGUCUAGGAAUGACCAGAUUGAGCUCAGAAUUUCCUAGUAAAAAUACUAGGGGUAUUCAAUUUGUAGUGCGGAAUAAUUCCAAUAGUCGGUGUCCACGGUUGACAACAACCCAAAACCCGUAGAGUGAUUAUGACAAGGAAAGACAUUCCUUCAACAAAGUUGGUAAGAUAUGGUGCAAUGGCGAGACAUCUUCGAGAUACCAGGGGGUAAUACUCGAAGGUAGAACAUGAUAGAAGUAGAACCGGGUCAUUGACCUAUGACAGUAGAUACUUCAACCUUGCCAAAAAUAGACGAGGCACUGGAAUGAAUUCCCAUCAGAUAUAUUAGAUCAGGACAACAUGGUUGGAACCAUAACUGUAAGGAAUCAAUUCAAGAAUACCGAAAGAAUCAUACAGCUAGAUAAUCAUUUUGCGAGAAGCUUCCGAGACGGUCUACAUCAUUUUCAUGGGCAUGAGCACAAAGUUCAAGGUCGACUCCCACUUCUUUAAUGCAUAUCAUUUCAUUCACCUCUCGCUUUGAUAAAACUGUAGUGUUGGAAUUUUAUCUGGUAGAACACCGGAAGAGUAUGACUUGUGAAAACUUUUGGGUUCUCACGGAUUAGGGGAAGGCAUAGGUUCAACCCAUCGGGCAUCUUAGUAAUCAUAUACCACAAGUUUCAAAAGUAAAUACACAAGCUCGAAAGCAGAGCAUGGUUGGCCAAGCAGAUGAUACAAUUUACCAAAGGCACUAUGUACCAGGGGAAGAACUCAUAAGGUGAUUGAAUAUGAAGGACACUAUCGGAUAACAAUCCAACAAUGGAUCGGGCGAUCCACAAUGGAGCUGAUGUGAGUGUCGGUACUCAUUGAGAGGAAGAAAGAAUGCAGAGGCAUUAGAUUCAAGAAUCACCUGAUUAGUCUGAUGCUUAAAUAGAAAGAAAUUAUGGUUUCCGAAAUGAAGGAUCAGAAGUAGACGCUCUGAUCAAGGAUGGAUAAGUUGAAAACACUUAGUUGGACAAUCAAUAAAGGUUUGAAUUGCCGAGAACCAACUCAUGUCCGGAAUGACGUCUGAGUCGGAAAGAUAAUUUAAAAAGGAUAACCUGAUGACUGCAUGCAUACGCACAUAUUGAAUCAAUAGGCUCAAAAUGACUAUGACAAGGGAUGUUAACGAGGACUACUAGUCAUAUGGAAUUAACCAUAAUGCAAGCAGGCAAGAAUUUCAAGAAUAACAGGCUGCAGAGGAUUUUCGAAAGAUCAAAAAGUAUUCCAAAGAAUUUUGUGAGACACAUGAACAAUUGAGAAGAACGGAUCCUCGAUAAAUGUGAGCAAAAACCGUAAGGGUUUUCAUGCGAAAUAAAACUGCAAGACAGUAAACUCAAAGGAUUCUCGGGACAACGGCGAAUAUUUUGAGGCAUCUUGUAACAACAAGAGCGACGAGUGUCGGUGUCAAAAUCGGCAGAUCUCGGGUAGGGGGCCCCGAUCUGUGCGUCUAAGGCUAAUGGUAACAGGAGGCAGGGGACAUGAUGUUUUACCCAGGUUCGGGCCCUCUCGAUGGAGGUAAAACCCUACUUCCUACUUGAUUGAUCUUGAUGAUAUGAGUAUUACAAGAGUUGAUCUACCACGAGAUCGUAGAGGCUAAACCCUAGAAGCUAGCCCAUGAUGAUUAUGAUUCUUCUUCUACGGACUAAACCCUCCAGUUUAUAUAGACACCGAAGGAGGCUAGGGUUACACAGAGUCGGUUACAAAGAAGGAGAUCUAACAUCCGGAUUGCCAAGCUUGUCUUCCACGCAAAGUAGAGUCCCAUCCGGACAUGGGACGAAGUCUUGAGUCUUGUAUCUUCACGAUCCAACAGUCCGGCCAAUGUAUAUAGUCCGGCCGUCCGGAUACCCCCUAAUCCAGGACUCCCUCAGUAGCCCCUGAACCUGGCUUCAAUGACGAUGAGUCUGGCGCGCAGUUUGUCUUCGGCAUUGCAAGGCGGGUUCCAUCUCCGAAUACUCCAAAAUAAACCUCGAACACUUAAAUUGUGUCCGGCUCUGCAAGACGAUCUUCACAUACCACCGUAGAGAAAAUGAUAUUCCACAAAUAUAAUCUGCUGACGACUUUACAUAACGUGUCAUCACACCAUGGUCGAGUCAUUAUUUGAACCGUUUUCCCACGGCCAGCCACCGCACAUAUUGCGAGGCGGUUUCCCGGGCACGUCUUGUCGAAGCAGAGAUCGUGUUCCCCUUAUCACGGGGCUUUCAUCAAUACGGGCGCGGGUAGCCCAAUCGUACCGCCAAUCGCAGCGAGUGGGGAACGACCAGGCUCCACCAGGCAAGUAGGGAGGUGCACAAAGUUUUUAUCGCCUCUAUAAAGAGAUAAGGACUCUUCUUCUUUAGCCACGCCUUUCCCUUCCGCUCGUCCAUUCCCCUUCGCUCGAGCCCUAGCGCCCAAGCACUCGUCUCCUCCACCGAAAAGAGGUUCUCCGAAGAUAUCCGGAUCUGGAGCAGGAGGCAAAUGGAUGGCCUCUACCGUCCGGGAGAAGGAUAUCAAAAAGCUUCGAGAGGCCGGGUACCUGGCCAAGAAAAUCGGCCACCGUCUUUCGACGGCGGGAUAGAUCGUCCCCAAUCCGGAGCUCCACGAGAGGGUCGUGUUCCUCCCUCAUUUUGUCCGCGGGCUCAGGUUUCCCCUUCACCCAUUUGUUCGCGACAUCAUGUAUUAUUACAGGAUUGAUUUUCAUGAUCUGUCCCCUAAUUCUUUCCUUAACAUUUCGACAUUUAUCGUCGUGUGUGAGGCCUUUCUCCGUAUUUCGCCCCACUUCGGCUUAUGGCUGAAGAUCUUCAAUGUGAAGCCCAAGGUGGUGAACGGCGAGCAUGCUGAGUGCGGUGGCGCGAUGGUGAGCAAGAUGCCCAAGGUCACAUGGCCGACAUGCACCUUCAAUGAUUCCGUCAAGGAGUGGCAGCAGCAGUGGUUCUAUAUCACCGAGUCGCGCGGUAAAAAGUGGGCCGCUGGUCCUGAAUUCAGAUCCGGAGCCCCCCUGCGGCUCACGUCCUGGCCCAAGAAGGGCCUGAACUGGUCCUCGUCCAAUGAGCUGUCGGUGCUCCAAACACGCGUCAAGGGCGUGGUAAACAAGGAUGUCAAACUCGUCAAUGUAGUCCAGGUGAUGUUAGUUCGCCUGGUUCUCCCUUGCCAGCACCGAGCCUGUAAUUUGUGGGAAUACGACCCGGCUGAGCACCAGACCCUACGGGAGCUCUACGGCUCCUCACACAAGGACAUCUGGAAGGUUCUCUUCAAGUCCGGCAAACCGUGGCCGGGCUCCACCGAGGACCGUGGGUAUCAACUGUCCCGCCCCGCAAGCCCGGUAAGUUAUCGCUAUAUUUUGUCUAUCCAUGUUUAGCUGGCAUAUCCCGAGGGAGACGCUUUAUCAUGCUUUCCGCAAUUAUCCCAGGAAUGGACGAAGAAGGUGGGGCAGAUACAUUGUCCGGCCCUGCUGCCGGAAGAACCGGCAGGACCUCUUCUGACAAAGAUGCUGGUCCCGGCGCCUUACAAGGCGCCGAAGAAAGAGGCCUCCAAGAAGGCCAAGGAGACCCGGAGCGGCCUCCGUCGCCGCGGUGCUUCGAACGCAAAAUCCGAAGACUCCAGCGCCCACCCUUCCUCCGAAGACGAAGAGGAGGAAGAAGAAGACAAGUCCCCCACGGGGGGAGGGAAGAAAAGGAUGGCCUCCUCAUCCUUAGAGGCCGAAUCGCCGAAGAGGGGGAAAAAUCCCCUUCCAAAGGCAUCCACCACGGCUACCAGUAGUAGCCCGGAGUGGGAUCCCAGGGCCCAGCCCCUGGUAAAAUCGUGAGUACACGAAAUCCGAAUACGCCUAAGCGCCCAGGAUUACUAAGGUGCAAUAUUUUAACUUGCGCCCUACUUUGUGCAGCCCGGCGAGGCCUCGUGCCGAACAGUCCUCCUCGGAGGAUUCGCUGAGCUCAGAUGCCCUGGAGAGCGAGACGCCUCCGAAGGCCCCUUCUCUGAAGCCUGGGCGUGACACCGAGGUGUCGUCUCAGCAGGGCCCAGACCAGGGAGGGCACGCCUCUAGGGCCGGAUGCACGGGAGUGGCGGUUCCCAUGAACGUCGACGGCGGGGGCGAUUUUAGAGUCGGCCCGCAGCCGGACACGGUCCUGGAGGCUUUUGAAACUCCAGGAUUAGGCAAGCAGCCCCCCUUGAUGGAAGGAGGCAAGCCCGCCCCGCCGGCAACCUCUGUCCAAGCAGAGCUGCAGGGUGGCCUAUCGACAGUGCUAAAAAAUGCGUCCAUCGUCGAUGAACAUCGUGCCCUUAUGGGUGUGGUGAUUGAAAAGAUUCAGUCCGCUGAGAGCGGGCUGAAUGAGUCCUGCAUUAGCCUUAUAAAAGGCUUUGAGGUAUGUUUCAGGAACUUUUAAAGAUUGUCAUAGUAUGAGCAGUAGCCCCUGAUGCACUGUCCGGUGAGAGAGAGAAAGCCGGACAGGGGAUCAAAUUUCCGCUUCGCAGGAGACUUAGUUAAUGACAUAUAUCCUUUUGUUUGAAAAACAAGCGUCUGUAGCGACGACCGCCUCUCAUACUGCAGAAUUGUCCGGACUAAAGCAGAGUCUGGAACGGGCUGAAGAAGAACUUGGCCGAGUGAAGAAGCAACUGGAGGACAAGCAAGGUAUGUCGAAACCUUUUGAUAAGUUAAGCACAAAUGAGUAGUUGUGCCUGAUGAAAAUAUUUGUAUUUGUGUGCUCUAGGAGCAAAUGCCAAAAUUGAGGCACUGAAGAAGGCUGUGGCCGAAGCCAACAAGAAGGCCGCCGCGGAGCAGGCUCUUCGUGAGAAGCACGAGGCCAGGGUCAUUGAAGCUGAACGAGAGCUCCAGGAGGCCGUGACGAAAAGCGAGAUCUUGGAGCAGAGUCUAGCAGGGAAAGAAUCCGAACUCGCCCAAGCUAUCCAAGCCGCAAAUGAUGCUCGGGAGGAAGCCCGAGGUGCUCUGAAGGACAUUCAGGAGGCAAGGAGGAUUGCGGCUGGUAAGGCUUCUUACUCAAAGCGAUUUUUAUAUAGUAAUAGGAGAAACUCUAAGCGACAAACUGAAUUCUUGUUUCUCCAGGAGCGUUUGCGGACGUGUCGCGCAGCAUAUCUGAUGCUGCCCAAUUCUACCGGGCUGAAGAGAAGAAGUCUGCGGAGAAGCAUUUUUGGUCGCAGUAUUUGGCGCCGAAUUAUCCGGUGCCCUUUGUCGAUCAGCUGGAGCAGCUGAUCGAACUGCACCAGGCGGCCGAACUAGCCAUGAAGGAUUUAGUUGUCUGGCUGUGGCCCGCUGAGCCAAUUCCAAGCAGUUACUUCGGACUCGUGAAGCGGAUUGUUGGUGCUUGCCCUCGGCUCGAAGUCAUUAAGCGGUCGGUCUGUAUAGAAGGUGCACGCAUGGCAUUUGCCCGUGCGAAGGUGCACUGGGGGAAGCUUGAUGCUGAAAAGCUGAUGACUGAGGGACCACCGGAGGGUAAGGAGCAUCGCAAGCCCGAAUUGUAUUAUGAUGGUGUCCUGAAAGGAGCCCGCCUUGUGGCGGAACAGUGUACCAAAGACACUAUAUUUCCCUGAAGGCAGUCAUGUUGUCCUUUGUAAUGCGGGAUACUGGCACUGUUAUUAUUUAUUUCCUGUUAUAUGAAAGUUUUUUCUUCCUGUGCGGCCGUUUAGUAUAUAUAAAUUCUGAGAGUUGGCCAGUCGUCGGCUUCUGCCCCCACGUAGAAAGUACGGGGGUGUUCGGGAUAUACCUGAACACUCUUUAUCCCAUUUUUGGGUCCUUGAAGGAGGUGUUCAUCACAGCGAACCAGGCAAUCAGACUAUAGGGCUUUGUCACUCUCACUUAGCCAUAGGAAUUCGAUUAUGGUAGGCGCAGCCCCUGGUGUUCGGAAGACCGUACGAGGGGCUCUAACAGCGCCUGAUCGGAAGACCGAUCCGUCGCACUCUGCAUUUGUUAUGGCAUUAUGCGGAAUAAAUCCUUAAAGAUUUUACAACCUCUCGAACAGCUGACCAGCUCUCGCCAUAUCAUGACAGUCAGUUUUCGGCUUUCUCUACUGAGGUGCUCGUCCGGAAGAACCGGGACACAAUCGCAGUAGUUCUCCCAGCGCUACCUUAGCCGAUGGAGCGGAACGUAAGGUACCAAAACAUGGGAGCCGGGCAAACCCAACUAAUGACCCAAGACAUGAUUCGGAGCUGAUGCAUAUAGUGCUAUAAGUUCGGGGUGCCGAGCGACCGAGAAGGUGGCCGGACUUUUUUGCCAUAUUAUGAGUACAAUGAAGCCCCUGGCAUAAUGGGGCAUGACACUAUUGUGCGGGUGCCGUUAUGACGAAAAAAAAGCGCCAAUGAGGAACGACGGCCGGUAAGUGCCAUUUAGUUCUAUGUGUUGUAGUGGAGUGACACGUCUAUGCGUAUGAGUACGGUUUAUGUUAUGAAAAGAGGUAUGCUGGCGGAACCUGUUGUGGCCGGACGGGAGGAAGCUGUGUGCGGAUCCAUAGUGUAUCCGGACUGUCUCCUUGGGGGAUACUUGUGUUUUCCCGCCUUGUGCGCCCGAGCUGAUUCCAUGUCGCCAGUCCUGUUCUGCGCAGAAGUGACCUGUGAAGAAAAAUGCUUAGAGGCAGUUGCGUGUCAUAGGGUGGUUGAGCCGCUGGGCUCUUCCCCAGCUUAUGCCAGAGUGCUUGGUCGGAGCCUGGUCGAGCCGGGCUGCCGUGCCGUAAAGUAGCUCGGACUCCUCUGUUGGCGUCCGGGGGGUUGGCCGUUGAACCGAAGUUCGAUAGAAGGGCACAACUCGCUACCUUAGCGGCGGUAUAUUUUCCAAUCUCGGGGUGGAGUUCGGCCUUGCCCAUAAUUGUGACCAUGUCACGUGGGUUUGGCAUGAUAUGGUACCACGUUUAGUCGAGCCAACGCGGUUCGUCCCGGUAGUAUAUAGCAGUUACUGUAUAAGGGGACAAUGCCGAAGACUUACUCUUCGGUAUGGUGUUUGUUUGGUGAUCCGAAGACAACCUCCAGGGUGGUGGGCCUGUAAGACUUGGCCUUUACACCCGGAACGACAUCUUUGAGAAGAUGUUUUUAGUGGGUUUGAUCCUCGAGCGAUCAAUACCUAUCUGAUGAACUGUGUUUUGGCGCAGGAAGUUUGAGCUGCUGUUUAUGCCCAUAGGGGCUCUUGUGAGGUGGAACCCGCCAACUGUUGGGUCGAUGGUAAGUUCAAUUGAAUUGCCAUGGUUGAGAUUGGCUGGACGGUCUAUGUGAUCGGAGAUGAUCGGCCGUAUUUUGUACCGUGGGGUGACUUGUUGAGUCGGCAUCCCGAGGAGUACACAUUCGUUCCUUUGCCGGUUUGCGGAGGAUUUUCCUUUUACCUCACAGUGUUUGGUAUUCUGGGCUCCUCGCUGUUUGAGACCUCUUUUCAUUGUUUCCAGCGCACGACCGGUCGUUUUGUUUUGAAGAUCCGGCAUUCUCUGUUGGUAUGAUUGGCUGCCCUUCUAGGGGUACCAUGAAUUUGACAUGGUUGGUCAAAUAUGUUGCCCGGGCCGGAUGGGCCUGAGUUGUUCUCUUUCCGCUGACCGGACUGGAAGCCGCGGAAUCCGGCGCCAAUUGCCUUGUCUUGGGCAUCAUCAUUAUUUUUGUGACGCUUAUGUCUGUUGCUUCGAGGUUUAUGGAUGCUGCCUCGCAUUUCCUGCGUGUUGCCCCGGACCAUGAUGUAUUGGCGUCGGGGUGUGCGAUUUCAGACCUCCUUCUCAGGUUGACGUAGCAAAUUGUGCUUUAGGUACCCUUUGGUGGGGCGGUCGAGUCUGUGUUCCUCGGCUGCCAGGGCCUUAGUCCAUCUGUCUGCGAGCAGAUCUUGGUCAGCUUGGAGCUACUGCUGCUUCUUUUUCAGGCUUCUUGCAGUGGCCAUAAGCCGUCGCUGGAAGCGAACUUGCUCUACGGGAUCCUCAGGCACGCCGAAUUCAUCGUCGCCGAGGCUCACCUCGUCUUCGGAGGGAGGCAUGUGGUUGUCCUCAUUCGAGUAUCCGUUCGUCGCCUGUUCAUCUGGGCUAAUCUGCCCAUCUUCCUGUCCGGCCUGCUCGAAGGCAGGCUGAUCGGGAUUGUAUUCGUCUUCGGCACCAUCUGGAUUGUUUUCGUCUCUUGUGCCGGUAUUGCUGUGGAGGGGCUUGGAGCGGCGCCGAUGACGCCCAUGCUUUGAUUUCUUCCCUGAGGGGUUAUCCUCCAUUGCCUCAUCGCCAUUGGUUUCUUUGGGAGUGUCCACCAUACAUAUAUAUAUAUAUAUACCAUACGAGUAGGUGGUUGUCCAGCGCCCCGUGGGCGGUGGUUCUUGUUCUUCUCCUGCAUCGCCGUCCACACCGUCGAUGUCCUCGGAGUCGAAGUCAAGCACGUCGGUCAAAUCAUCGACAGUGGCAAUGAAGUGGGUGGUGGGUGGGCAACGAAUUUCCUCGCCGUCUGCUUCCCACUCGAGCCGGACAUAGUUCGGCCAAGAGUCUCCUGACAAAGAGAGAGACUUUAAUGAAUCUAGCAUGUCGCCAAAGGGCGAGUGCUGGAAGAUAUCCGCAGCGGUGAACUCCAUCACCGGAGCCCAACCGGAUUCGGCGUGCUCGGGGGUGCGCGGUCCGGAGCCUAUAGCCGGACACAAGUCCGGGGGUCCGGUGACACAGACUUCCUUGGGGGUGGAGUCUGUGUUCGGCUCUACCGCCGAUGAGUGUGUGGCUUCCGGCGAGGUCCAUCCACCCGUCCUCGGACGACGCGAGCUGCCCCGGAUUUAGGUCCGGAGCUAUUGCACAUGCGAUAUCCCGAGUAUUGUUUGACAGCAGGUCUAAGUCGUGCUCGUCAUGACUCUUCGGCGCUCCUGGUGUAGGCCCAAAUCCAUCGAAGAUCAAGUCUCCGCGGAUAUCGUCCGUGUAGUUCAAGUUUCCGAACCUGACCUGAUGGCCAGGGGCGUAGCUGUCGAUCUGCUCCAGAUGGCCAAGCGAAUUGGCCCGCAGUGCGAAGCCGCCGAACACGAAGAUCUGUCCGAGGAGAAAAGUCUCACCCUGGACUGCGUUGUUGAUUGAAGGAGCCAUCGAGCCUGGCAGCGACGACACAGAGGAACUCUCAAUGAAAGCACCAAUGUCGGUGUCAGAACCGGUGGAUCUCGGGUAGGGGGUCCCGAUCUGUGCGUCUAAGGCUAAUGGUAACAGGAGGCAGGGGACACGAUGUUUUACCCAGGUUCGGGCCCUCUCGAUGGAGGUAAAACCCUACUUCCUGCUUGAUUGAUCUUGAUGAUAUGAGUAUUACAAGAGUUGAUCUACCACGAGAUCGUAGAGGCUAAACCCUAGAAGCUAGCCUAUGAUGAUUAUGAUUCUUCUUCUACGGACUAAACCCUCCGGUUUAUAUAGACACCGAAGGAGGCUAGGGUUACACAGUCAGUUACAAAGAAGGAGAUCUAACAUCCAGAUCGCCAAGCUUGUCUUCCACGCAAAGUAGAGUCCCAUCAGGACACGGGACGAAGUCUUGAGUCUUGUAUCUUCACGAUCCAACAGUCCGGCCAAUGUAUAUAGUCCGGCCAUCCGGAUACCCCCUAAUCCAGGACUCCCUCAACGAGGAAUGAUCAAGAGAAUGACAAGUUCAUACAGAUAUCCAUAGGGAUAUAUCGGUGACAGUGGAUUGCAAAGGCGAUGAGCACAAGGGUCUCGGGAAAAUAUCGAGGGAUAUCCUCAGAAUCUUCUGACGAAGCAGGUGAUCUUCCGGAAUGAGGGCUCUCCGGGAGAAAUAGUUACGAGAACCUAGAGUUAGAGUUAGCAAAACCAUUUAACCCGAAUAGAGGAGAGAACAGAGUCCCAGAGUAAAGGUCGAGGAGUAAAAGAUCCUAAUACCACCCAAUGGCGACGUGGGCCCGUAAGCCACACAACCAAGUUAGUAAAAAGCUUUGCAAUGUCUAGACUCAACUUCGGCCAAGGAGUGUGGAAGGGGGAUUCCUACAGGCAGUCGGCUCUGAUACCAACUUGUGACGCCCCCGAUUCAAUCAUACACUAACCAUGCACGCAAAUGUGUACGAUCAAGAUCAGGGACUCACGGGAAGAUAUCACAACACAACUCUAAAAGUAAAAUAAGUCAUACAAGCAUCAUAUUACAAGCCAGGGACCUCGAGGGCUCGAAUACAAGUGCUCGAACAUAAACGAGUCAGCGGAAGCAGCAAUAUCUGAGUACAGACAUAAGUUAAAUAAGUUUGCCUUAAGAAGGCUAGCACAACCUGGGAUACAGAUCGAAAGAGACGCAGGCCUCCUGCCUGGGAUCCUCCUAAACUACUCCUGUUCAUCGUCAGUGGCCUGCACGUAGUAGUAGGCACCUCUAGUGUAGUAGGAGUCGUCGUCGACGGUGGCGUCUGGCUCCUGGGCUCCAACGUCUAGUUGCGGCAUCCGGGAAGAAGAGGGAAAAGGGGGAAAAGAGGGAGCAAAGCAAUCAUGAGUAGUCAUCCAAAGUACUCGCAAGCAAGGAUCUACACUACAUAUGCAUGGGUAUAUGUGUAAAGAGGCAAUAUCGGUGGACUGAACUGCAGAAUGCCAGAAUAA
rnacentral:lncRNA from 1 species